AGAGUUUGAUCAUGGCUCAGAUUGAACGCUGGCGGCAGGCCUAACACAUGCAAGUCGAACGGUAACAGGAAGCAGCUUGCUGCUUUGCUGACGAGUGGCGGACGGGUGAGUAAUGUCUGGGAAACUGCCUGAUGGAGGGGGGAUAACUACUGGAAACGGUAGCUAAUACCGCAUAACGUCGCAAGACCAAAGAGGGGGACCUUCGGGCCUCUUGCCAUCAGAUGUGCCCAGAUGGGAUUAGCUUGUUGGUGGGGUAACGGCUCACCAAGGCGACGAUCCCUAGCUGGUCUGAGAGGAUGACCAGCCACACUGGAACUGAGACACGGUCCAGACUCCUACGGGAGGCAGCAGUGGGGAAUAUUGCACAAUGGGCGCAAGCCUGAUGCAGCCAUGCCGCGUGUAUGAAGAAGGCCUUCGGGUUGUAAAGUACUUUCAGCGGGGAGGAAGGUGUUGUGGUUAAUAACCACAGCAAUUGACGUUACCCGCAGAAGAAGCACCGGCUAACUCCGUGCCAGCAGCCGCGGUAAUACGGAGGGUGCAAGCGUUAAUCGGAAUUACUGGGCGUAAAGCGCACGCAGGCGGUCUGUUAAGUCAGAUGUGAAAUCCCCGGGCUCAACCUGGGAACUGCAUCUGAUACUGGCAGGCUUGAGUCUCGUAGAGGGGGGUAGAAUUCCAGGUGUAGCGGUGAAAUGCGUAGAGAUCUGGAGGAAUACCGGUGGCGAAGGCGGCCCCCUGGACGAAGACUGACGCUCAGGUGCGAAAGCGUGGGGAGCAAACAGGAUUAGAUACCCUGGUAGUCCACGCCGUAAACGAUGUCGACUUGGAGGUUGUGCCCUUGAGGCGUGGCUUCCGGAGCUAACGCGUUAAGUCGACCGCCUGGGGAGUACGGCCGCAAGGUUAAAACUCAAAUGAAUUGACGGGGGCCCGCACAAGCGGUGGAGCAUGUGGUUUAAUUCGAUGCAACGCGAAGAACCUUACCUGGUCUUGACAUCCACGGAAGUUUUCAGAGAUGAGAAUGUGCCUUCGGGAACCGUGAGACAGGUGCUGCAUGGCUGUCGUCAGCUCGUGUUGUGAAAUGUUGGGUUAAGUCCCGCAACGAGCGCAACCCUUAUCCUUUGUUGCCAGCGGUCCGGCCGGGAACUCAAAGGAGACUGCCAGUGAUAAACUGGAGGAAGGUGGGGAUGACGUCAAGUCAUCAUGGCCCUUACGACCAGGGCUACACACGUGCUACAAUGGCAUAUACAAAGAGAAGCGACCUCGCGAGAGCAAGCGGACCUCAUAAAGUAUGUCGUAGUCCGGAUUGGAGUCUGCAACUCGACUCCAUGAAGUCGGAAUCGCUAGUAAUCGUGGAUCAGAAUGCCACGGUGAAUACGUUCCCGGGCCUUGUACACACCGCCCGUCACACCAUGGGAGUGGGUUGCAAAAGAAGUAGGUAGCUUAACCUUCGGGAGGGCGCUUACCACUUUGUGAUUCAUGACUGGGGUGAAGUCGUAACAAGGUAACCGUAGGGGAACCUGCGGUUGGAUCACCU
rnacentral:rRNA from 1 species